UACGUAGGGUGCAAGCGUUGUCCGGAAUUAUUGGGCGUAAAGAGCUCGUAGGCGGUCUGUCGCGUCGGCUGUGAAAACCCGAGGCUCAACCUCGGGCCUGCAGUCGAUACGGGCAAACUAGAGUACUGCAGGGGAGACUGGAAUUCCUGGUGUAGCGGUGAAAAUGCGUAGAUAUCAGGAGGAACACCGGCGGUGUAGACGGCUUUCUGGACCGUAGCUGACGCUGGAGGCAACGAAAAGCGUGGGGGAUCAAACAGG
rnacentral:rRNA from 1 species